rnacentral:rRNA from 1 species
UACGGAGGGGGCUAGCGUUGUUCGGAAUUACUGGGCGUAAAGCGCACGUAGGCGGCUUUGUAAGUUAGAGGUGAAAGCCCAGGGCUCAACCCUGGAAUUGCCUUUAAGACUGCAUCGCUUGAAUUGUGGAGAGGUAAGUGGAAUUCCGAGUGUAGAGGUGAAAUUCGUAGAUAUCAGGAGGAACACCGAUUGCGAAGGCAGCUCGCUGGGACGUAACUGACGCUGAGACGGCGAAAAGCGUGGGGAGCAAACAGGG